rnacentral:rRNA from 1 species
CCUACGGGAGGCAGCAGUCGAGAAUAUUGGUCAAUGGGGGAAACCCUGAACCAGCGACGCCGCGUGCGGGAAGAAGGCCUUCGGGUCGUAAACCGCUUUUAUUUGGGAACAAUCCCGAGAGCAAUCGAGGGAUGAGCGUACCUUAUGAAUAAGGGAGCCUAAUUCUGUG